rnacentral:lncRNA from 1 species
UGCUGAUGUCUGAUAUCUCUAGAGCUUUGAAGAUGGCGAGCUCCCUCAGAAGGGUGCAGAUCUGUUCAGAGCAGGAGACGAGGAAUAUACGCCGGUAACGUCAUCCUUUCAUCUUCAUGCUUCUGAUGUGGUUCACACGGACACAUUUAACGCUGGUUAUCCUCUCACGCAGGACAAUAAACCACAGACAUCUAGAGAGACUGACACGCAUCGCAGAGGGUCAAAGACUCAAGACAUAAAGGAGUUUCCUCAAGACUUUCCAGGAGCCGUGUCUGGAGGCUUCCACCUGUCUGAUGCUGCUGAGGCUGAGUGGCUGUCGGCUCAGAUGGACAUGAGACGACUGAAAGAUGCAGAGGAAGAGCAGAAGCAGGAGGAAGAGGAGGAUGAAGGGGACACUGACAGUCUGAUGGAGUGGUGGAAUACAGUGGAGUGUGAGUUCAUUCAUUCAUUCAUUCAUUCAUUCAUUCAUUCAUUCAUUCAUUCAUUCAUUCAUUCAGCACACACACAUCAGAUCUGAGUCGUUUAACAUCCAGUCUUUGUGUUUUCAGUUUGGGAUGAAAUGCCUGCUAAUGAGACGAUCAGCACUAAAGAAGAAGA